GUUAAGCCAUGCGGUGGAUGGUUUGGCUUGAUCGCCGACGAAGGACGUGGCAAGCUGCGAUAAGCCUUGGCGAGGCGCACGCAGCCUUUGACCCAAGGAUCUCCGAAUUGCUCCGGAGGGAGCGGGAACGCGGGGAAUUGAAACAUCUUAGUACCCGCAGGAAAAGAAAGCAAUAGCGAUUCGGUGAGUACCGGCGAGGGAAAGCCGAGGAGGGCAAACUGAAUGCCUUCUCGAAAGAGGAGGUAGAUGUGGUGCGACCCUAGUUUAGACCUUCCUCGGAGAAGACGAAGUUCUCUGGAAUGAGACGCCGUAGAGGGUGAAAGCCCCGUAGUCAUAAUCCGAGAUGGUCUAUAGGGCUCGGGAGUAGUGAGCAUUGGAUAUUGCUCACGAAGGUUGGAGACAUUAACUCCAAACCCUAAAUACGUAUCAAGACCGAUAGCGCACUAGUACCGUGAGGGAAAACUGAAAAGGAUCCCUGACAGGAGGUGAAAAGAACCUGAAACCGCAUGGCGAUAGUUAGACACAGCUACUUAUACCUGUGUGAAUGGAAAGAGCACAGGUUGGGUAGUUGUGUCGUUCGUCUUGAAACAUGAGGCAGGGAGUGUAUGUCCACGGUGACCCGAAAGGGGCAGGGAAACCGAUAUGUCCGCAGCACUUUAUAGUGCGAGGGACAUGGUACAAAAUGCCAUUAAUCGUGGGCAUACGACCUGAAACCAGGCGAUCUAACCCGAGGCAGGACGAAGCCCUACAUCAGUAGGGUGGAGGUCCGAUAGAGAUGCUGGGCUCAGUCCGCUCUCGUGACCUCGGGAUAGGGGUGAAAAGCCAAUCGAGCCUGGUGAUAGCAGGUUCCUCCCGAAAUAGCCCUCAGGCUAGCCUGGCCGGAGAUAGAUCAUGGGGUAGAGCACUGAUUGGGUAGGUAGGGGGCGAGAGCCCUCACUAUCCUGUCAAACUCCGAACCCAUGGUCGUCGUAGAAGGCCGGAGAAGGGGCCGGGGGGUAAGCUCCUGGUCCGAAACCCAAACAAGGGUGCUUGUGGUUAAGGCCCCCAAAUGCCGACUAAGUGUAAAUAAGGGCGUCUUAGGUCUAAGACAGUGAGGAGGUUAGCUUAGAAGCAGCUAUCCUCUAAGGAGUGCGUAACAGCUCACUCACCGAGACCUAAGGCCCCGAAAAUGGACGGGACUAAGUCGGCUGCCGAUACCACAAUGCUCUCCCAAAGAGGAGAGAUCAUGUAGGGAGGUGCCUUGCGGGAGCAGAAGUCUCUCCUUGAGGAGGGGUGGAUCCCGCAGGGAUAAGAAUCCUGCCAGUAGUAACAGCAAAGCAAGGUGAGAAUCCUUGCCACCGAAAGGGCCAGGGUUCCUCAACAAUGUUCGUCAGUUGAGGGUUAGUCAAUCCUAAGACCUGUGUAAUUCACGACAGGUCGAAUGGGAAACUGGUUAAUAUUCCAGUACCGUGUGGGUACAUGCGGCAACGCAAGGUUGUUUCCCGACGCUUUGGGGUAGCCCAAGUACCCUCGUCUGGGUACCUAAGCAGGAUAGGGUUGUGGAGUCUCGUAAUGAGGAGAAACAACCCAAACUGCGAAUGGCUCCCGUAUGGGAGUUUGGGCAAUCCCCGGAGCCCAUGAAAAGGGAAACGAUCGGAUCCCACACGAUUGUACCGAGAACUGACACAGGUGCCCCUAGGUGAGAAGCCUAAGGUGUGGCGAGGGUAACUCUGCCUAGGGAAUUCGGCAAAUUAGCUCCGUAACUUCGGGAUAAGGAGUGCCUGCUCUUCGCGGAGCAGGUUGCAAUAACAAGGGGGGUCCGACUGUUUAAUAAAAACGUAGGUCCCUGCAAGUUCGUAAGGAUGAGUACAGGGGUUGAUACCUGCCCAGUGCAGGCACCUAAAACCUCCGUUCAAGGAGGCGAAGGGCCUGUAAACGGCGGGGGUAACUAUGACCCUCUUAAGGUAGCGAAAUUCCUUGCCGCUUAAUUGGCGGCCCGCACGAAGGUUUAACGAGACCCCCACUGUCCCAGGCAGAGGCUCGGUGAACCUACUAUUCUGGUGCACAGGCCAGAGACUCCCAGUGGGACGCGAAGACCCCGUGGAGCUUUACUGCAGCCUGUCGCUGAGUUGUGGUCAAUAUUGCGCAGCGUAGGUGGGAGGCAUCGAAGCUACCCUUUCGGGGGUAGUGGAGCCAAAAGUGAGACACCACCCUUUAUUGGCUACAACUCUAACUCCUUUGGAGGACAACGGCAGGUGGGCAGUUCGGCUGGGGCGGUACACCGUUGAAAAGGUAUCAACGGUAUCUAAUGGUUGGCUCAGACGGGUCAGAAAUCCGUCGUAGAGGACAAGACCAAAAGCCAGCCUGACCAGAUUUCGAACAUCAAGAAAUCUGGCCUCGAAAGAGUAGUCUAGCGAACCCCGAUACCCUAUUAAUGGGGGUUCGGGCUGAUGGAAAAGCUACCCCGGGGAUAACUGAGUGGUCGCGGGCAAGAGUACACAUCGACCCCGCGGCUUGCUACUUCGCUGUCGGCUCAUUCCAUCCUGGGUGUGCAGAAGCACCCAAGGGUGGGGUUGUUCGCCCAUUAAAGGGAUACGUGAGCUGGGUUUAGAACGUCGCGAGACAGUUUGGCGGCAUCUACUGGGAGUGUUGCCUAUCUGAGGGGAAGGUCCAUUUAGUACGAGAGGAACAAUGGACCGCAGCCUCUGGUCUACCAGCUGUCUGACAAGGCAUGCUGGGUAGCCACGCUGUAGUCGGUAAGGGCUGAAAGCAUCUAAGCCCGAAACGACCCCCAAAUAAGAGAUAGGCAUGGGCACCUGUAAAAGACAGGUUUGAUAGGCGGGGGGUGUAAGUGCCGAGGCAACGAGGCAUUCAGCCCACCCGUACUAAUCGCCCAUA
rnacentral:rRNA from 1 species